GGUAUCGCCGUUAGUCAUGUGCAAAUAUGGAUAGCUGUUUUAGCCGUCUUUAUUGGCUGGUUUAUAAGAGUUAUCAGAUAUCACUUUGAUUAAAUUAGAGUGCUUAAAGCAAGUGUGUUACUUGGAUAUAAAUGCAUGGAAUGAUGGAAUAUGUUGUUAUUCUAUUUGUUGGUUUUUGAAUGAUAAAAUGAUUGAAAGGAACUGUUGGGGGCAUUCGUAUUGUUGUGAGAGAGGUGAAAUUCUUAGACCACAGCAAGACGAACUACUGCGAAAGCAUUUGCCAAGAAUGUUUUCAUUGAUCAAGAACGAAAGUUAGAGGUUCGAAGGCGAUCAGAUACCGCCCUAGUUCUAACCAUAAACUAUGCCAACUAGCAAUUUGCUUUGUAUUUUUUAUGACUAAGUGAGAGGCCACGGGAAACCUAAGUAGGGUUAUGGGGGAAGUAUGGUUGCAAAGCUGAAACUUAAAGGAAUUGACGGAAGGGCACCACCAGGAGUGGAGCCUGCGGCUUAAUUUGACUCAACACGGGAAAACUUACCUGGUCCUGACACUAGAAGGAUUGACAGAUUGAUAGCUCUUUCUUGAUUUGGUGGAUGGUGGUGCAUGGCCGUUCUUAGUUGGUGGAGUGAUUUGUCUGGUUAAUUCCGAUAACGAACGAGACUCUAGCCUAUUAAAUAAUACACGGAAUUUUAUCUUCCGCGGUAUUUCUUAGUGGGAUCAAGCG
rnacentral:rRNA from 1 species